UGGAGGAAGGCACAUGCAUGAAGACGAAUGGCCAUUUAAUCGUGAGUAAGAGAUGAAGAGAUGGGAGGAGGUUUGUCUGGGAGGAGGCAAUGAUCUGGUUGAUGAUUCUUUUGCUUCUAGAGGGAGAUUUUGGAACUACUGGGCAAUGCCUCUGGUACUCUAUUGUUCUAUCAAACCUCAUCCUGGCCCUGUGACUUGGGCUCCAAAUUUCCUCCCCUUGUCGUUAUAGAGCAGGCAAGUUGCACAACAUGUAUAUCAAACCCUGUCUCUCAGACCACACUUCCUUUUUGGUCCCCAAUGAGUAGAAGAAAUAACUCACUAUAGAAAUUGUUAUGCUGGGGGUGUGGCAUAGUGAUGACGAUACUGAUGAUGAUGUUGGCAAAGGAAAUGAACAAAGCAAAAGAGGAAGUCGGCAAAGCCAGGAUGGUGACGGGCACUCUAGCUUUUGGGGAACUUUUCAGCUCUUGACUCACUCAGCACUUUUAAGCUGUAAGGUUCCCUCUGUUCUGACAUCUCAUUCCUCCAAGAUGGAGGCAGGCAUUUCUUCAAAGCUGAAAGUGCCUUGCUACCUGUUUUACUUACUUUCUAUUGCUGUGAUAACCAUGACUACUGUGCAGCCCAGACUGGCUUCAAGUACAUGACAAUUCUCCUGCAUUUGUCUCCCAAGGACUGAGAUUACAGGCACGAGCUCCCAGGCCCAGUUGAUGUAUGUGUUCUACAUCUUCUUUACUUAUCCUCUUGCUCAGAACAGAGCUAAGCAAUGACUGUCCUCAUUACUUUCUCCAGACCUUGUCUUAUUCCUUAAGUUGACGACUUAGCACAGGCCUUAGGGGUCUGUUCUUUCCCUCUCAUCUUUUCUGUCCUGGUUAGUUUUAUGUCAACUAGACACAAGCUAGAAUCAUCAGAGAGAAGGGAGCCUUAACUGACAAAAUACAUCCAAAAGAUCUGUCUGUAGGCAAGCCUGUAGGAAAUUUUAUUAAUUGGUAUUUACUUGGGGAGAAAUCAGCCUGUUGUGGGUGGUGCCAUCCCUGGGCUGGUGGUCCUGGGUUCUAUAAGAAAGUAGGUUGACAAGCCAUGAGGAGCAAGCCAGUGAGCAGCAUCCCUCCAUGAUCGCUGCAUCAGCUCCUGGUUCCAGGUUCCUGCCUUGCUUGAGUUCCUGUCCUGACUUCCUUUGAUGAUAAACUGUGAUGUGGAAAUGUAAGCAGAAUACAUCCUUUCCUCCCCAAGUUGCUUUGAUCAUGGAGUUUCAUUAUAGUAAUAGUAACCUAAAUGAAAAUGAAUUGGCACCAAGAUUUACUGUGACAUGACUGUGACAGACCUGAGCAUAUUGUUUUGGAAGGACUUUGUACAAGAAAACCCAUAGAGUGGUCAAUUCUUGGUGAGCUGUUCCUAGGAACUUGGAAGAUAGGGACGUUGAGGGCAACACAAAGAUGGAGGCCUGACUUGUGAAGCUUCAGAAGGAAGCUUAAAGACUUCUUCAGGGCCAUUUGUUAUAUUGAAUUAAGAUUCCGUGAUAACAUAAUAUCUCAUUAGCUGGGGCUGAAGAAUAGGCAUCGAUAAACAAGAUUCCAGAACCACUAAAAAUGAAACCUUUGCUUUGCUUAGAUACUCAGUGCUGGUGAGCUGGAGCUGAGAAAUUAGCAGUGACUAAGAAAAGUCCAGCAUUAUUGAGGUGAAAUCUUCUGGGAAGUGUUUUCUGAGAGCACACAGAAGCUGUUUUCCAGAGAUGGCCAAAGUUGUAUUUCUCCACUGGCAGCCAAAUUUGGUCCUGUGGAAGAGCCACCCAGGUGACACUGGUUCAUGGAAGAGCAGCUGAGUCUUGGCACUGACAAUACAGCCUCAGUGGCAGCUGAAGGCCCAGGAUUGAAAGGGUCAUACAGAGAAGUUGAGGCUUGUCACCAUGAAGAGAGCCCAGGAGAGUACUGGUAUAAGUCCAGCCCAGUUGCAGC
ensembl:antisense Il1bos interleukin 1 beta, opposite strand